UAAUACCUGACAGCAGCAUUGAAAAGACAAGAAAAGGUGGAAAAUUGGACACAGACAUGCUCAAAGAGAAAAUGUGAUGUUGAAAGCAGAAAUCUACAAGGGAAGUAACGCUAAGAUUGUGGACAGCCACCAGAAGCUAGAGGAGAGGCACAGAUUCUGCAUCACUAUGCUCAGAAGGAACCAACCCUGCCAACGCUUUGAUUUCAGACCUCUGCCUCCAAAACU
rnacentral:lncRNA from 10 species